CCCUCCCCCCCGAAAAAGGAUCCAAAGCAUUUGUCUACACUGCUGUUUGCCAGCCUCUGAAGAAGGCAGUUCCUGUGUACAAUUCAUAGUCUUUAACCUGAGAUCUAAGUUUGUGCUAAGUACGUGGUGGUAACACCAGUACCUUGACAGCGUCACCCGAGGCCUCUCGCAGCAGCUAACUCUUGAACCACUUCAGAGUCGCUGAGUUCAUCCUAGCUCAGUGUUGGCUGAGAAGGACACUGCUCCAAAUCACCAAGCCCUGCUCCUCUCCUGAAGGCGUCUUCGGGACCACAGUGGGUCUUUCUCCUGGGACCGGUGGCCGUGUGUUCGAGGAAAGCUCACAGAGGCCCUGAAGGGUGUGCAGAUGGGCAUGGGCGGAGUGACCCUCCACCAUGGGUGAGGGAGACAGGUGUGCUGGGCACAGUGACCCCGUCUUCUAGCCCUAAGGAAAGUUCUUUGCUCACAGGGUGACCGUGUGAGGCAAAUGAAAUGAUAAUAAACAGGAAACAUGUCUGCUCUUGGAAAGCUCACACGCGGACAUGGACCACGGUGGAGCCAGUGAAGCGGUGAACUCACUGCUGCACACGCAUGCACACGCACACACGCACACACCCUCUGCCCCUCCCUCACCCAGUCUCCAUCACCAGCGGGCAUGCUCUGACCUGGCUGCCUUCUCCCUGCACAGCCACCUUCUACCCCAUCAGAAUGUCUUCAUGCUGCGUACUGUGACAUCCUCUCCGCUCUCAGCCAUGCCGAGUGAAAUGUUAUGCUUUGGAUCUAAGGUGUCCCCCGAGUGUCGUGUGUUUAGGGAUCACCACAGGGGUGCUAUAUUUACCAGUGAAUUCACCCACGAAUGCAUUCGGUAGCUGAAUUGCUGCUAGGAGGUGGUCACAGGGGUGAUCUGCAAGGGAAUAUUCUUGUCCCCAGCGCCUCCCUCCUCUUUCUGCUUCCUGGCUGCCACGGAGUGACAGUGUUCUCUGGCCAUGCCCUCCUACCGUGUCCUUUCUGCCUGGAAGGCAGUUGACCACCAACUGAAUCUUCUGAAACCGUGAGCCAAGGUAAGCCUCUCCUCCUCUAGAGUUGCAGGUGACAGGUAUUUUGUCGCAUCAGCAGGAGAGCUGCCAGCCACACUUGACUGCGGGGAUAAGUCGUCGCUGGCUGUGGUAAUGCUCCCUCCUGCCUGCGUGCCUUCGGAGGGGACGCCCAGAACCAGCGGAGACCUCAAGCGCAGUGCGAUGUGUUCAGCCCCUCUCUCCAGACCUCCACGUCCCGCUUGCUCUUACUCACCUACCUGCUCACUCCUUUGUCUAUCUCCACCCAAGUGUGUCUUUGACCUCUUUUGUCACCAAAGUCCAAAUGACAGAAAAUUAGCUGGAUACUACCCCCCAGGGAGGGGAAGUAUUCAUUUGACUCUUAAAUUGGGUGACAGUGAAGAUGUUCGCGUGUCUGGCAGGAAGGCAGAGCCUGGGGGCACAGCUGUAAUCAUGAUCGGCGUCUGUCCUGUUGGCCAUUCCCUACGCAGCAGGCCAGAGGUCGCUCCAGCCAAGCUGAGCGCUUGAAGCACCUGCCAUUCCCCAGACUCAUUCACAGGGUGCACCCUCCGCAUAGAGCACCGUUCCUAGCCACCGGCUCCUGCUUUCUCAACAGACGGUUGGCAGGAUUCUGGCGGUAAGCAGGACCCUCUCUGCCGUCCUGGGUUCUGUAUCUCAGCUCUAGGCUAUUCAGCACCCCAGGCUUCCCCGCUCCCUCGCUCCUGACGCUGGAUGUUAACUGUACAUCUCCCGCUGACUAGCAAGCUCCAUGAGUGCUGAACUUCUAGGACCUGCAUGUCUGUGGAGCAAAUGUCAUGGUGCUGCUCCGCACCACCUGCUCUUGCUGACGGGUACAUAUUUUUAUGCUACCUUUUGCCAGAUGAAAAGAAAACAUAAAGCGUUACAUCGUUCUUCAUUUUUAUGCCAAGAAGCUCAGAAUUAAACUCAGGUUAUAUUAAUGUUGGUUCUUAAUUAACUAGAAGACUUAGUUUAGAUUAUUUCAACGAUGAUCAUGCUUCUUUCAUGAAAUAAGUAUGCUUACUUUAACUGCCUGGUGCUAUUACUUUUUAUUGAACGCACCUUAAAGCUUUAUGGUCUUAUGGUCCAAACACUUGAAUUCUACCUCACCUCCACCCCUGCCGAGCUCAGUGGUAUUUCCUCCCUGACUCUCUGUUCAGGCUUGACUAUCUGAUCUUCACAGGCCUUGCCAGCUCUAAAAGCUUUGUAUUUCCAUAGGUAAAAGGAGAGUUUAUACAUUAUUAAGGAGCUCUGUGACACAUCUACCCAGCCUAAGUCUCCUAGGAGAAAGGAGUCCUCUCCUCAGGUUCUUGGAAACUCCCUCCGGAGAGCCUCAAGGGUCCCCCAAGCUCCAGUUACAGUCACGAUCCUGUGCUAAUAUCAUCACGUAUUUGGACUGAGUCUGCAUUAAACUGAGAGCUCCUGGAGAGCAGGAACUGUGUGGUGUCAUCACAGUAUCUUCAGAACCCAUUGUGGAACUCAGCAGAUCCUUCAACAGUAGAGAAGUGGGAUGAUUGGAUGAUUAGGUGCAUGGAUGGAUGGAUGGAUGGAUGAAGUUCUGACACAGCGUGGGAGGAUGCAGAAAAGCAUACCAUGAGGCACCAAAGAGCCGAGAUGCCAUUCUUUGGUUUUUUUCCCAUAGGGCAGCUCUGCACAUCUUUAGUUGCCCUUCAUUUGUGGAGUGGAACUUGGGGCCUAGCCUUUUUUCCAGCUGGAUGAAUAUCCCAUCACACCCCACAUACUCUUCAGCUUCCUCUAAAAUAGCUUCUCCAACUGAUACCUGGCUACCAAGGUGACUGAUUCUUCCCAGUUUGGGACUGUUCCUGUUUUAAAAUUGAGAGUCCAGUGUCCUAGGAACACCCUCGGUCCAGGGCAAACCGGGACAGGUGGCCAGUCUCCUCUCUAUACUGUUGAGGAUAAGGUCAACACGUCCCGGCUACCCACGAGCUGGGAGAGGGUACAUGACUGAGUCCAUCCAGUUUGCCUUCACUGGACGUGACACAUGAGCUGCUGAGGAGAGUCCUCAAAGCAAGGGCAAUGUGUUUCUGCCCUCUGGACUGGACAUCGCAGCCAUGAGUAGACAUCUCAUGAUAAGGGUGGCAGGGCAGGUCGACCAGAAGGCCCUGGGCUUCCUCCAUUUAUAUGAAGAAAAUAAACUUGUCUCUCACCUGAGCCAUCGUCAUGUGAGGUCUUCUGUCCUCACAAAUCCCAUCUCAGAGGAGGAAUUCCCUACCUGCUGAGCUGUGGGCGUGGCUCAUGAAGCUCCCUCCUGUUCAUGGUCCCCAGACCCUUGUGUUCAGAAAAUGCCCUGCGUUGCCAGAAUCAGUGCCUCUGUGCAGUUUCUUCAGCCUUGUCUGCAAGAACUUGCACACUAACCCCCUGCUUGUGGUGAUUUUAAGAAAUCAACAGGUCUGGUGUGACCCCAGGGUCAGGGUAGGAAACCUGACUGCCCACUACUGGUUCUGUAUGUGAAGAGUUCUCCAAACAUGUUGGUGGUAUCCCCAUCACCCAAGCCGGGGCCCAAGUCCCCCUGCGUGUGUCCAUAAUUCCCUGCUGAACUGCAGACACCAGGCAAAGGAAGGGUGUGCCAGGAAAAUGCCUCACUCCUCUGAGAGAAGGAAAGGGACACAGAGUCCCUGUGGGCCGGGCUAUCUCUGUACAGGCCUGGAGGCAACCGUCACUCUCUCCCAAGCACACUACUCAAGGUGAGGUCAGGGCCGGCAGCCUGUGUGGAGGAGGAAGGGCGACGCUGGCCAACUGUCCACCGCACAGCAGGAGCUCCAUGCUGCUUGCUUAGGGGGAAAACCUGCAGAUAAUUUCUCUGACUAUCUGUUCUAAAUAUUUUGUCUUCUUUUGUUUUCUGUUAAAAUCUUUUUCAAAAACAAAAAAAGUCCUGAUUUCUUACCUCAGUAAUGAGAAGAGAAUUCUACCAUGUCAAGAUAUGGUGAUAACGGGGAAUUCAGGCCCUCCGGAGGACCAGAGCCAUUCGACAUCUGUCUGGGCAUCCACCCCCAGGCAUCUGUCCUACCAAGCUUACUGAUGGCCUUUGGUUUCCAUGAGUCCUUGCAAGACAUCUAUAGCUGCUAUGUGAAUGGACACACUCUGAUUUAUGUGUGGUACUUCAUCCAUUAUUACAAUCUUUUCUGAUGUUCAUCAA